UUGAGCACACAUCGCAACGGUGUGAUGGUUGGUUGGUGCUGUCCUUGGCUGAAGUGAGAGUCAUUCCUUGCGUAAAUUGUAAUCUACAAGUAGUUUUUACCUUUUACAUGUCAGGGUUUAAUAUCCUUUAAGUUAUGGAAGGAAGAGAUUCGAUCGAAUGCUGGCGGUUGGAACUCAUGGGACGCAAAUCAGGAUCAAUGCUUCCUAAAGAUGCACUCGGGAUGAAAACUUAACCUUCGAAUGGAACAAAAAUAAAAUAUUUUGAACUCUAAGAUGUUCUUCAUAAAGUUGGCUCCAUCACGUUACGAUUUUGGACCCAUGACGCUCCCGAAUAUAUAUUGAUUGAUUACCAAGAACUGUAUUCGUUAUCGUGGUAGAUUAUGGUUUAUACAUGGCAUUAAAGUCCACUUGAUCCGAAAAGAAGCCGCCCUAACU